rnacentral:rRNA from 1 species
GACGAACGCUGGCGGCGUGCCUAAUACAUGCAAGUUGAGCGAUGAAGAUUGGUGCUUGCACCAAUUUGAAGAGCAGCGAACGGGUGAGUAACGCGUGGGGAAUCUGCCUUUGAGCGGGGGACAACAUUUGGAAACGAAUGCUAAUACCGCAUAACAACUUUAAACAUAAGUUUUAAGUUUGAAAGAUGCAAUUGCAUCACUCAAAGAUGAUCCCGCGUUGUAUUAGCUAGUUGGUGAGGUAAAGGCUCACCAAGGCGAUGAUACAUAGCCGACCUGAGAGGGUGAUCGGCCACAUUGGGACUGAGACACGGCCCAAACUCCUACGGGAGGCAGCAGUAGGGAAUCUUCGGCAAUGGACGAAAGUCUGACCGAGCAACGCCGCGUGAGUGAAGAAGGUUUUCGGAUCGUAAAACUCUGUUGGUAGAGAAGGACGUUGGUGAGAGUGGAAAGCUCAUCAAGUGACGGUAACUACCCAGAAAGGGACAGCUAACUACGUG